AUGAUCAAUGCUUUCUGGUGGGGCAGUAAACAAGGCCAGCGCAAACCCUAUUGGGUCUCUUGGGACACCAUGAGCAUGCCAAAAUAUAUGGGAGGUUUAGGCUUUCGAGACUUUGAAAUCUUCAAUCUAGCGCUGUUAGCCAGGAAGGCAUGGCGUAUACUUGAAAACCCAGACUCUCUGAGUGCUAGGAUUUUAAAGGCAGUCUAUUACCCCAACACAGAAUUUUAGUCAGCUGAGUUGGGCAAUCACCCAUCUCAGUUUUGGAGAUCAAUUUUUGAAGGUCGGGACACAUUGAAGGUGGGAAUUAUCAGGAGGAUAGGGACAGGUGCUACGACAAACAUCUGGGAUAUGAAUUGGAUCCCGAGAGCAGAAAACAUGCACCCAAUCGUGUCACUGAUUGCCCAGCCACCUCAGUUAGUCUCUGAGUUAUUGGACUGGAAUAACGCAAGGUGGGAUGCACAACUAGUUGAGCAGAUUUUUUUGCCUUAUGAUACAGCCGCUAUCUUGCAGAUUCCAGUGUGCACCCGAAACAUAGAGGACUUCUGGGCAUGGAAUUUUGAAAAGAAUGGUGUUUUCUCUGUCCGUUCUGCAUAUAGGAUGAUCAUGGCUAUCAAGAAACAAAGAGAAGAUUGUCUAGAGAAUUGA
rnacentral:rRNA from 1 species